rnacentral:lncRNA from 1 species
UCACAGCAGCAACCCAAGCCACUAUAGUGACAAUACUGGAUCCCUAUCCUGCUGUGCCACAAUAGAACUUCUAUUUUUCUGCUGAACAGAUAAAUGUCCUUUUGGAGUCCUUUUUUGGACUCUAAUUUCACUAAUUUUUAAAAAGGGUCUAGAUAGUCAAUCCUCUGCUUUAAAAUAUAUCUCUACAUUUCCUUUUCAUAAUAUUCUUUUUCCUUGUAAUUACACAUUUAACAUCUGUUUUCUCCACCAGACUUAAACCACCUUGAAGAUAUGCAUUAUUAUGCACAAAGAGUAGCUUAAUAAAUGCGAGUAUGCAUGACCAGUUACAGAAUUUGUGGGUUCAAUACAAAGUGAAAAUGAGAGUACCCUUGUCCAAAAAUAAUUAAGAAUUUCAAGACAAUGAGUACCGAGAAUUAAACCAAGCCCAGGGCCCUUCUAAGCACAGGCCCCAUGUGUUCUACACAGAACACAUGCCCAUAAAGAAGUCCAAUAAGUGUGUGUGUGUGUGUGUGUGUGUGUGUGUGUGUGUUUGAAAUAUUUCAGAUCAUUGUCAAGAAAAGAUGUUUAGGUUACCAAUAAUGACUAUUUUGAUUGAAGAUUAUAGAACAUUUAAAAAGACAUUGGUUAACCUUUAACAAUUCUCUCUCUAAAUUGACAUUCAUGUUGUUUUACUUGCAUUUUUUUUGAGUACAUGGUAUUAUUCAUUCCAAGAAUGUUGUCUUCUCUCUUAAUAUUUUUUUAUUUAUUGGUUAUAAUUCAUAAACUUUAUAUACUAUUUUGUUUCUUUAUUGACUUUUCUGCACAAUUCAUUGUCUAGGAGUGAGCAUAAUGGUAACCACUCCAUUUUUCUAAUCACAAAAUAUUGGCAUAUAAAAAUUCACAAAACAUUUUAUCCUUAUCUAUCUGUCUUAUGAAAAUAAUAUUCAGCCUAUCAAAAUCUCAAUCACAAAUUUAAGACCACAUUUUGGACUUUUUUUCAAAUGGUAUUAAUUCUACCAUAGACAGAAAAAUAAUUUGAUGUAGCUGGAGUGUGCCCAUCUUCAUGUCACAAUAAAAAUGCCAAAUCCUUUACAUUUUCUUUAGAGUGAUUUUUCACACUUGGGGCCAGAGUCCAGUGAGGAAUUUACAUCUCCUCUCCUGGUGUUCUGAAUAAUUUCCCCUCAUGCUUCCCAAAAGUUUGCUUAAGCACGAGCCCUUGUUCAACCAGGUUUUAUGGUGACCGCAUGAAACAGGAAGACAGAUUUCCUGUUGAGCAAGUUAUUGAUGGAUGCUCUUUUAUCUGUCCCUGGAAAGUUUUUUUUUUUUUUUUUUAAGUGUAAGCUGCAUGCAAUUACAUAUCUUAAUACUGCUUUCAAGAAUUUGAAAUAAAUCAAUAACCAACCUUGUGUUUAGUUAUAGAAGUCACUUUUAUAGUCCAGCCUCCUAUUUCUCUACACCCCACCUCCACCUUGGUGUCAUUCCCAUGGAAAUACUUGGCUUCCCCCG